rnacentral:lncRNA from 1 species
UUGAAUAUUUGUAGGAAACUAACGACCUAAUGGUCUUUCCCAUGAAAAAUAUCUCUGCUAAAUGCCGUAUUUGUCGGUGUGCUACAGAUGUGUACGUACUGACCCGAAAUUUCUCUUUCCAUAUCCAUAUCCAUAUCCAAUAUCCAUAUAGUAGAAAGAGGCCAAAGAAAACCCUCAGCAAAUUCAAUGGCGACUACUGCAUUUCUUCAUCCUGCUGCGAGUUGCAGCGUUGUUUCUUCAUCUUGUCAUCUUAAAAGGAAGGAAGCCAUUUGCCGUAAUCUGCCUCUCAUUCGUUUGCUAUCGAUCUUUCAAAGCUCCGACAUCUUGAAAUCGAUCUUCCUCCAGCAUUACCUUUGACGCAUCUCCGACCAACCUGUACUAUGCUCCCAAUAAAUAGACCCCUGUAGAACUUCGAAACCUUAAUCUUUUUCUUGAACACCCAACACCAAACGUUACCAUCACUUUGUCAACAUGCAUUAACUGACGCAGACCAUAAAAUUGAAGUAAUGAAAGUUAAGUAUACCUUUGUAAGGCUUCAAAUACUUUUAGUUUUACUAAACCCUAAACCCUUUUAAUUUUACUUUGCUCUCUGACUUAGGUGGUAGCUGCAGAGCUUAAGGAAGAUGAGGUGGCUUUGGUGAAGGUGGAUGCCACUGAGGAGAUGGAUUUCGCUCAGAAGUUUGAUGUUCUGGGUUUUCGAUACUGUACUUCUAUGUUGAUGGGGUGCAUAAACCCUACCCUGGUAAAUGAACCAGUUAAGUUUUCAUGUUUAUACAGGAUGAAUCUCAUGUAUUUACGGUUUCAUACGUGAAGAUGAAUGAAUUAAUAUGGUUUUAUUGCGUGGAUAUUUUGAUUUGGAUUAUGUGCAUUUAGGGAUAGAACUAGAGUAAGAAUUUAGGGUGGACUAAAUGUUAGAACAAUGUCAAUCCUAAUACGAAAUACUAGAUUACCCCUUCUCAUGGUAGUAACUUUUUGAUCUUAAUCUUUUUUGUUUAGUUUCUGCAUCUAACUGUCCUAUAGAAGACUAAUACUUUUUAAAGUAGAAUGAAUUAUUUAAAUUGUAUUCAUUUUAUGAGUUCAUAUGUUGUUAGAACUGGAUGUUACAUUAUACUAAAUUGCUCGUCUUGAUGAUUUAUGUUGUAGAGAUGCUAUAAUUAAUUGGUUGAACAAAAAGACAAUCCCCGCUCUGUAUGGUAUCACAACGAACGCAACUUGGCUGUAGAAGGAAAAAUAGUAUUGGGUUAUUUAGAGAGCUUGGUGGUAUGACUUCUAUUGCUGUUCAAAUUGUUGUCGUAUUUUAGAGAGUGUAUUUACUACUCAUUUGCCCAAAAUAUUAGAUGAACUUGCAUAUGCUUCAAAGCUGAAAGAUGAUGUUAGCUUCUACCAAAUGAUGAGUCCUGAUGUAGCAAAACUCUUCCAUAAUGAUCCCAAAGACAAACGUCUAGCUUUGUUCAUUAUUAACAAGGUCCUUAUUCAUUUUGGUAGUCAAAAUUUCCUUAACAUCACUUUUAAUAAUAAUCUCUUAUUUAUACAGACAGACAGUUCACUAAAUCAGCAAUUGCUGAAUUUGUGUUUGAGAAGAAACUCCCUCUUGUCACCAACUUUACUCGAGAAAGUAAGUUUAUGCAUACCUUAAACCGAUAACAAAAUGAGCAUUUAUUUCUAUUGUGAUGAUGUGGAUGGUGGAAACAAUGUUGAGCAUUUUUAUUUAUUGCAAGCAAAUUUCAUCUGGAUGUCAUUCUUGUUGGUAUAUGCGUCACUAUAUAUUCGAUACAUCUACUUCUCUGGAUAUGAACUUGUGAGAUUUAUAAUUGGAAAGCUCUCCUUCCUAAAUACAGAAAACGUCUUGAUGCACAGAGAUGCUGCACAAAUGACUGCCUUGGAAGCAAUGCAAGAGGAUUCUGCUGCAGAAACUUUUCAUAAAUGUCUAAGGUAUUAUCUUCAAAGUGAAAUCUUGAAAAGUUGUUAAUUUCCUUUAAUCAAAAUAAUUUUAAGGCAUACCUACCAGUUAUCAAUUUGUCUUCAGUUCUUGGCAGCAUUUCUAAGGAUAAAGAACCUUUUAAGUAUUUGGGCUGCCUCAUAUUCUUGGUCCAUAAUAUUUGGGCCUAUGUUGUUGAGUGUGGAUAAUUGUUCAACCCUGGUGAAGAAAACGUGAUCCUUUUAAACACGCCUCUUCAAUUCAUUGAUGCUUGAUCAGGCCGUACACUUGGCGAUCUCCCAACUGUUGAUCUGUGGCUCUUUGACUUACAGCUUAAAGUAGUGUUUGGCCAUUCAUUUUAGAGACGGUUGAACUUUGUGUUUUAGGGUUUUCUCUUCUUCUUCUCUCUAACCACACCAUAUAUUCUUUGUGAGUUUCUUGAUCUGAAAAUCUGAGUGAUUCUGAGAUUCUAUACUUGAUGUAUACUGUGAGAAAGAUUCUUAGUGAUUUGGUGUAGUUUUGUAAUGUGUGUUGAGGCUAGAGGAAACAUCGAAGAAAUCUCUGAUUUCUUCGUACGUAUUCUUGGUGAUUUCUUAGUGGAUCUAGAGCUUUACCUACUUGUGGAUGCUCAACAAGUGAGUAGGUCGUAAGAUUGAACAUCCGGGCCCUUUGUGGCGAAAAAUUCCUCGUGUUCUUGAUUCUUUUUAAUUUUCUGCAAUUUUAAUACAUUUUAUUUCUGAAAAUACAAUUUUAAACUAGAUCCUGAUACCAACAAGUGAUGUCAGAGCCUUCUCUUUUUAAAAGAAUUGUAUUAAGGUUUGGUUUUUCAAACAAAACGAUUGUACUCUUUUGAAAAUUGCAGAUUUGAUAUUGGAACAGGGUUUUCUGUGAUAAGAAAAUUGUUUUUCUUGAAAGUUUUUUACUAAUCUAUCUUCAAUCCAACUUUCUGGUUGGAUCUCUUUAAGGAUUGGAAUACCCCUUUUGUGUAGAUCUGUGAGAUCUACGGUGAUUAGUUGACACCAUGUUCUAUUCAAACUUUUCUUUGGAAAAUCAUUGUAACUCGCUCUUGACUUGUAACAAUCUGUUGUUUCUGCUGAUUUGUGGUGAUUUUCGAGUUGACUCAUUAUCGAGUCUUGCUGGUUCUUGUGACUCGUACUGAGUUCCUAGUGAGUUGGGUCGACUCUGUUCGAUUCCUACCGAGUUCAUGCUGAGUCUUUAUGACUCGUUGAUUUCCUGCAUGAAUACUGAAAUUCUUGGUUCACUUCUGGUAUACUUUAGACUCUCUCCUUACUGUUGAUCACCUGUGUUAAUUUUUUGAGCCGGUUAUUAAGGUAAGUUUCCCUCCAGUACUUUCCUUUAUCCAAGAUCUCAUACGAGGAUCUAGGAAUAUGAUGGAGUAUUGGAAUUAAGCGUUACCACCCCUUAAACCAUUUCAAAAUUGGCAAUUGCAUUUUUACUUUCAAUUUCUAUGAUCUUGUUAUUGCAUUUAUCACAAUGUCUACUGCAUAUAAACUUGAAAUUGAAACCUAGAAUGGUACUGGAGACUUUAGUCUCUGGUGCCAGAAAAUGAGAGCUCUGUCGUUACAACGGAGAUGUAGUGCUGCACUUGAUGAUAAUUGGCCUGCUGAAACUAGUGCUUAUAGGAUAAGAGAGUUAGAUGAUAUUGCCCGGAGUUCUAUUUUCCUUCAUCUUUCUGACAGUGUAAUUAGGAAAGUAGGUGAAACAACUUCUGCCGAGGCUUUAUGGACUAAAUUGGAAACCUUUUAUCUAACUAAAUCCGUACCUAACAAAUGUUAUCUUUUGAGGCAGUUUUAUAAUUUUAGAUUUGAUUCUUCCUCUGUCCUAGAAGAGAACAUUGAUAGAUUCACAAAACUAGUUGAGAUGAAGAAUCAUCUGAAGGCCAACAAGUUGUUGCCUUACUGAACUCUCUAAGUGACAGAUAUAGGGAAAUUAGAAAUGCCUAGGAGUAUGGAGGACAAGAACUCACAGUUAAUCUAGUAACCUUUGCCCUAAGAAAUAGGGAACUUGAACUUAAAAUUGAUUUGAAAGAUUGCAAGUAUAGUGAAAGGUUACACAUAAAGGAAAAACUAAAUCAAAACAAGAAAAAUAAUCCGUGUAACUUUAACUCUCACAAGAAAGGAAAAUAUCAGAACCCUAAAUUCAGAGAUAAAAACAUGAACCAAGCAAAAUACAAGAACCAAGUCAGAAAGUGUUCCUACUAUGGGAAAACAGGACAAUUGAUAAAAGACUAUUUUAAGAAAAUUUCUAAUUUGAAGAACGCACAAAAUACUGAUGGUUCUGCAGCUGCUGUCUGCAAGAAUGAACCUGAUAUUCAAGGAGUUGUUCUUGUUAAUACCCCCAAUAGAGACCCAAAAGAAUGGGUGCUAGAUUCUUGUUGCACUUUCCAUAUGUGCCCCAUUAAAGAUUGAUUUAUUGAACUUGUUGAUCUUAGUGGAGGAAAAGUUCAAAUGGGAAAUGACAUGAGUUGUCAGAUAAGGGGAAUUGAAAAUUUGAAUCUUCUGUUAAGCAACAACUAUAUACUUGAACUUGAUAAAGUCAGAUAUGUACCUAAACUAAAAAGAAAUUUGAUUUCUUUAGGAGAAUUGGAUGAGAAGUAUGACAUUAGGAUUCAUAAAAACUUUAUAAGAUUGAUCCUAAACAAUAAAGAAGUCAUAUCAUCUCCUAAAAUAAAUGGCAUCUAUACUCUUCAAGUUGAACCUUUAGUAGGUUAUGACUCUCCAGCUAUUAAUUCAUCCUUUGAUAAGUCAUUAAUAUGGCAUAAAAGACUUGGGCACAUGUCUGAAAAGGGACAAUUUUAAAUAAAAUGGGAUGUUUUGGAAAAGAUAAUAUUGAAAAGCUAAAUUUUUGUGAGGAUUGCAUAAUUGGAAAACGAAACAAAUUACCUUUUAAAUCUGGAACCCACAAAUCUACUGUUAUUUUAGAAUAUUUACAUGCUGACCUUUGGGGUCCAGCAUUUGUAAAUACUCUCAGUGGAUUCAGAUUUUACCUACUCAUUAUAGAUGAUUUUUCGAGAAAAAUAUGGACUUCUCUUUUAAAACACAAGUCUGAUACUUUUCAAAAUUUCAAACAAUGAAAAUUAAUGAUUGAAAACCAAACCAAUAAGAAAAUCAAAACAUUAAGAUUGAUAAUGGCCUUGAAUUCUGUAAUUUGGAUUUUGAUUCCUUUUGUAAGGAAUUUGGAAUUCUAAGGCACAGAACCGUAACAUACACCAUCAGCAGAAUGGAGUUGCUAAAAGAAUGAAUAGAACCUUAUUGGGGAAGGUCAGGUGUAUGUUACAUAGUUCUGGACUUCCAAAGUUCUUUUGGGGUGAGACCCUGAAAACAGCAACAUAUCUUAUAAAUAGAAGUCCCUCAUGUGCUAUUGACUUUCAAGUCCCGGAAAAUUUGUGGUCAAACUCUAUACCUGAUUAUAAUGGACAUAAAGUUUUUGGCUGUACUGCAUACUCCCAUCAAGAUGAAGAUAAACUUGAACCAAAAUCCUUGAAGUGUGUCUUCUUGGGGUAUGGGGAGGAAACUAAAGGGUAUAGACUUUGGGUUAAAUGCCAAAAAGGUUAUAGGGUCAUCAUCUAGAAAUGUCAUCUUCAAUGAAAAUAAUUAUCCUGUAAGACAUCAUCAUCUGGAAUAGAAUCUACUGAACCUAUACCUAUGAAGGAGGCUAUUCUUGAAAAUCAAAUAGUUGAAUCAAAUUAUCAGAAUGACUUAAUUGAGGUGGAGACCACGUAAUUAGAUAUUAAUCAGGGUCUAAGUGAACCUAAAGAUGAAAUCCCUAGCUGAUUACCAAUUAACUAGAGAUAGAGAUAAGAGGAAUAGGUUUCUAUCUUCUAGGAUCAGAAAGGAUGAAUUUGUUACAUGUUUCUCUGCUCUUAUCUCUAUAAAUUCUGAACAUUCUACCUUUGAAGAAGCUGUAACUUGUUCUGAAUCUAAGUUUUGGAAAUAAGCCAUGAGUGAAGAAAUGGAAUCAUUGAUUAAAAAUGGGACUUGGAUCUUAGUGAAUAAACCUAAAAAUUAGAAAGUUGUGGAUUGUAAAUGGAUCUUCAAGAUAAAAGAAGGGGACUCUAGUAUUGGAGAUAAAAGAUCCAAAGUUAGGUUGGUUGCUAAAGGGUUUACCCAAAAGGAAGGAGUGGACUAUUACAAAAAUUUUUCACCUGUUACUAAAUACACAACUAUAAGAAUUUUGCUUGCCUUAACUGCCCAUUUUAAUUGGGAACUUGAUCAGCUAGAUGUAAAGAUUACCUUCUUAAAUGGGGACCUUUAUGAGACCAUUUACAUGAAUCAACCUAAAGGUUUUGAAGAAAAAACUAAAACUGAAAAAGUCUGCCUAUUAAGAAAAUCACUUUAUGGCUUGAAGCAGACUCUCAGGCAAUGGUAUAAGAAGUUUAAUUCAUAUAUUCAAACCUUGGGUUUUGUCAAAAAUAAUUAUGAUUCCUGUUUCUUUUUCAAAGGGUUAGGUGGACCUGAAACCAUUUAUUUACUUUUAUAUGUUGAUGAUUUGUUGCUUGCCCAAAUAGAUCUGAAAUUGGUCUUAUUGAAGUAAAAUUAAAAUUUGAAUUUGAAAUGAACGAUCUAGGACAAGUUAAGAAGAUUCUUAGAAUGGAAAUAGAAAGGAAUAGGAAAGAUUGCACCUUAUGCUUAAAACAGUGUGCUUAUGUGAAGAAAAUACUUGAAAAUUUUUCUAUGACUGAUUGUAAACCUGCUUCUUUACUUGUUGCAAAUUAUUUUAAGCUGUCCAAUGAACAGUCACCAAAAAUUGUUGAAGAAUUUAAAAGAAUGGAAAAUGUACCAUAUGCAAACACUUUGGGGUCCAUAAUGUAUCUCAUGGUUUGUACUAGACCAAACCUAGCUCAUGAUAUAAGUAUACUAAGUAGAUUUAUGGCUAACCCUGGUGAGACUCAUUGGCUGGCUAUGAAAUGGAUUCUAAAAUACUUGAAAGGCUCAUUAGAUAUAGGCUUGCUGUUUAAGAAUAGCAAAGAAGGCAUAAUUCUUAAAGGAUACAGUGACUCUGAUUUUGCUGGAGACUUAGAUAAGAGAAGGUCCACUUCAUCAUAUGUUUACACUUUGUGUGAUGGGUGCAUUAGUUGGAAAUCUCAGUUGCAAAAGUUAGUUGCUUUGUCAUCCACGGAGGCAGAAUAUAUAAUUGCCUGUGAUGCUGUUAAAGAGGGUCUUUGGUUGAGAGGGUUAUUAAAUGAAAUUGGAUUCAUAAAUAAUUCUAUUAGAAUUUAUACUGACAAUCAGAGUGCUAUUCAUCUCAACCAAAAUCUUAUGUAUCAUGAUCAAACAAAACAUGUUGACAUUAAGUUUCACUUUGUGAGAAACAUGGUUGAAAAGGGUCUAAUAGUUUAGUAAAAAUUCCAACAGAAUUUAAUCCCUCUGAUUUAGGAACCAAAUUACUGCCUUUAACUAAGUUUAAAAACUGCUUGAAGAUUCUAAACAUCACUUGAAAGGUAGUGUGUUUAGAAAAAUCAAGCUGUACUGUUUUAAAUAUGUACUAACUUUCUCCUUUUUUGUUUUUACAGGUAAAUAAGAGCAAAUGAAAUAAGUUGAUAUCGAGACCCUAGAAAUUACCAAAAAUAGUUCAGUAAGGUGGAGAUUGUUAAGUAUUUGGGCUGCCUCAUAUUCAUGGUCCAUAAUAUAUGGGCCUAUGUUGCUGAGUGUGGAUAAUUGUUCAACCCGGGUGAAGAAAACGUGAUCCUUUUAAACGCGCCUCUUCAAUUAAUUGAUUCUUGAUCAGGCUGUACACUUGGCCAUCUUCCAACCGUUGAUCUGUGGCUCUUUGACUGAUUGCUUAAAGUAGUGUUUGGCCAUUCAUUUUAGAGACGGUUGAACUUUGUGUUUUAGGGUUUUCUCUCCACUUCCUCUCUAAGCACACUGUAUAUUCUUUGUGAGUUUCUUGAUUUGAAAAUCUGAGUGAUUUUGAGAUUCUACACUUGAUGUAUACUGUGAGAAAGGUUCUUAGUGAUUUGGUGUGGUUUUGUACUGUGUGUUGAGGCUAGAGGAAACAUCGAAGAAAUCUCUGAUUUCUUCGUACAUAUUGUAACUUUUCUUGGUGAUUUCUUAGUGGAUCUAGAGUUUUAUCCACUUGUGAAUGCUCAACGGGUGAGUAGGUCGUAAGACUGAACAUCCGGACCUUUUGUGGUGAAAAAUUCCUCGUGUUCUUGAUUCUUUUUAAGUUACUGCAAUUUUAAUAUGUUUUAUUUCUGAAAAUACAAUUUUAAACUAGAUCCUGAUACCAACAGAACCCAGAUGAAAAAUGCAUAUUCUAGUUCUCAAAUAACCUCCACUCUUCGUUGUUUACUAUCAUAUGAGAAAGAGUACCCAUUAUGAGAUUUAAAUUUCUUGGAACCUUUUUCUUUUAUUCCAUAUCAUUUCAUUUAAUCAGGCAUUUUCUGUACCUCAAUUAAGUUGGAGACAACAUGUCUUGAACUUCAACUACAACUUGAAAGGUACAAUCUAUUUUCCUAAUGUUAUAGUUAAGUUUAUUCAUCAGUAAUUAAUGACUCUUGUUGAUUCUUCAAGAUAUGUGUCAGUAAGCAGAAUCCACACGACAAUGAAAAUGAAGUAGAGAAGUUGCACAAAAGUUUUGCUCAGAAUUACGGGAGAAUAAAUUGAACAGGCAAGUUUAUAACAAUAGACUCAAUAAGGGUAAUGGAAAAAAUUUGACAUGUUGGUUAAUUUGUUGACAGUAAAUUUGUAAUCUCCGUAGCCAGACUUCCCCUUAACAUGUAUGUAAAAAAUUUCAUAUUGCUAAUGUUGUUUUCCUCUAAAUUUCUGCAAAUAUACUCCGAUAUUGUUCUAUUUGAUAGCUAUGUAGUCUUUCAUAUUCAAAGAUCAUAAACUGUGUUAAAUGAUUUCCUUUUAACAAUCAUAUUGUUUUAUAAUAGAAUUUUCCCAGCAUUUGUAAAAUUAUUAAAUUUUAUAUCUGUUUUGCGCAGCACAUAUCUCGUUAUCCGAUUCAAGAUUGCGAUUAUCCAACGUUAUUUAUUUAGUGUUUCAGUUGCUAUAUUUAGUUGUAAUUUGCUGUUCCCUAUAUUAUUCCCUCAUCUCGUAGAUGAGUAGAUGAUAUAAUUUUUUAUUUUAUUUUAUUUAUUAUUAUUAUUUUUUUGUGUGCAUAUAAUGUGCUAAAGAACGUUUGUGUUUUAUGUAUAGACAAAAUAAAACUUUUGUAAAUGAGACGGUUCGAUAAAUUUCUAUAUAAAGGCUGUUCUCUUCGUAUUGUUUUAUUGGUUUGUCCUAUUGGCAGUUAAUAUUUUGUGAAGAGUAAGGAGAAGAAGAUCUAACUGCUAAUAUCCAUAUCCGUAUCCAUAAUAUCUUCCAUAUGUAUGAAUUUGAACUAUUAAUUAUUUUUGUGAUUCUUGUUCUUUAUCAUGAUUAUCGUUAAAUUUAACAUCCCUGC